CUGAGGACUCGGGACAGUGCUGUGCCGGACAGCCUCGGCCAGGUCCAUCUUGCUGGAGCCCAUCUACUGGGAUUCCUCCAAUGCCAAGAUUUUUUAUGUGGGGAGAAGUGCCUGGAUCAACCAAUUCAGAAGCUGCUCCAAUCAGCAGAUGAAGAAGCCAUUACUGCAUUUUUGGAAGAAAACUUUAAAUCUCCCAAAUGAAUGAUGACUCAUUAUUGACAUUAUGGUAACGUUUAUGUUAUCUA